rnacentral:rRNA from 1 species
AUUGAACGCUGGCGGCAUGCCUUACACAUGCAAGUCGAACGGCAGCACGGGUGCUUGCCCCUGGUGGCGAGUGGCGAACGGGUGAGUAAUACAUCGGAACAUGUCCUGUAGCGGGGGAUAGCCCGGCGAAAGCCGGAUUAAUACCGCAUACGAUCUACGGAUGAAAGCGGGGGACCUUCGGGCCUCGCGCUAUAGGGUUGGCCGAUGGCUGAUUAGCUAGUUGGUGGGGUAAAGGCCUACCAAGGCGACGAUCAGUAGCUGGUCUGAGAGGACGACCAGCCACACUGGGACUGAGACACGGCCCAGACUCCUACGGGAGGCAGCAGUGGGGAAUUUUGGACAAUGGGCGAAAGCCUGAUCCAACAAUGCCGCGUGUGUGAAGAAGGCCUUCGGGUUGUAAAGCACUUUUGUCCGGAAAGAAAUCCUUGGCCCUAAUACGGUCGGGGGAUGACGGUACCGGAAGAAUAAGCACCGGCUAACUACGUG